rnacentral:snRNA from 1 species
AGCUUUGUGCAGUGGCAGUAUCAUAGCCAGUGAGAUUUAUCUGAGGCACAAUGAUUGCUAAUUAAAAUGAUCACAUUUUAAAAUUCAUAGAUUUAUUCAUUGGUA